AUGUUUUACAUAUCUCAGCGCCCAAUAAUGGUAAGCAAAAAUGAUUAAUAAAUAUAUUUACAUUUUUAUACUUUUAUUUAUUGUAUAUUUAGUUGUUACAGGCUUACAGCAUAUGGUGCGCGAGUCGGACGAUUAGGUUUUGACUCAUGAAUAUUAAUGUUUACGUACCUCAGCGCUCAAUUACCAACAACGUCUGCGUCACCUACUUAAUAUUCAUGAGGCGUGCUGUUGCUGUAUUUGUGCUAAUCAACAGUAUGUCACAAGUUAUAUUUUAAAAUGAUCAUUUUGAGAUAAAGGAGACUUGUUUUAAAAAGCAAUAUGCGACAGGAGUAGCUGGUUUAAGUGACUGCAGGGCUCUGUGAUAUACUCUUCUGGUUUGAGGUUUCCUGACAGGAAUCUUGACAGCUCUGCUUGCCUUGGAUGGCAGAAAGGACAUAAGUUUUUAAGGAUCUUGAGGUUUCCAGUGUUUGCCAAAGUCAAUUCAUGGCCUAAGCAGCAGCUGUAUGAAGUUCCUAAAGCUGGCAAAUCUCAACAUCACAGUGCCUUCAGUUUAUGUACGACUUCAUAGACCAUGAAAGCCGGACUCCUUUCAUCCCUAACAGUGUCCAGAUGACUACUGAUAAACCAAUUGAGAACCACUGCCAUUUUUCACACGUACCUAUGGAUUUCGUUUUUUUUAAAGGACCCAUAUGCCAGUUACAGUGCCAAUGUGCACCAUUAUAAGUUACAGUAAUCUCUGUCGCAGUUGGAAAGAGGCCAUUGCAAUAAGGUGACCAGAUGUCCCUGUUUUCCAGGGACAUUCCCGUUGUUUGGUGUUCUGUCUCCCACAAACCCACAAAAAAUAAAAAGAUGAAAACAAUAAAACGUUUUUUUGUCCCUGUUUUUUAAUUAAUAGAUAAGAUUUCAAUAAUAUUUUGACCAUUGGACUAGGAAAUGUCAUUAUAAAAAUCUGGUCACCUUACAUUGCAAAACAACAUCCAUGUCCUUUCAUCAUAGCUUCCCAAACCACACUUUACAUUGGUGACCCAAUCGAUUGUUUAUACAUUUCAAUUCAUAAAUAUUCAAAACAAUAAGUUUCAAUGAACCUUCUUCAAUUUAAAAACUGUAGUUCUUUUAACAGCCCAAAUUUUAUGAUUAUAAAAAUGAGGGCAUUUUACACAACCUGUCCAUAUUGGUAUAAGGGUCAAUGUCGUGACGUUAAUUAUUUUGUGUCCGUAUGGUUUAAUCAAAUGUACAAGGGUUAAAUUUUCGACUUGCGAAAUAUCGUCCCACAAGCCUGCAAUUCCGGUUGCCGAAUCCGCAUGUGUAUGAUUGGAAGUCAUUGGAAUGGAAAGUCUAGUGUGACCCGCCCUUAAGGGUGCCUGCCAAUCUGUCCAAUUCUGGUCAUAAAUAUGUUGUUUAAUUGUGAUUUUAGAGAUAUCUGUCUUUCACAUAGACUGUAAAAAAAGAUGGAUGACGCCCGUUCGCUCUCUUCCAUUGGUGAAAAGUAAAGCGCCAGUGUCCCGAUACAGCGCUGACAUCUUGGGGCUUGAGUCUGCGCAGUAGCGAUUUCAGGACCAGUCCUGCGCAGUAGUGAGCAGGUAGUAAAGCCGCGAAAGCAAGGCCCCACCCUCGCUCUCGCAGAAUGCGCAUAUAUCACAGCUGUCAAUCAUGACGUGACACCACCGUUUUUAUAGCAUUGGAUAACUAACUAAAAACAAACUUAUUAAAAAAAAACGCUUGAAUUUACAUCAGCGUGAUAAAAACUAGAGUAAAUGACAGAAACCAGCUUCAGGAAAAAGAUAUUUGAAGUGUAAUUAAAUUGUUUAGUUGGUCCCAUGGAAUAACAUGGGGAGGCGGGGUUUAUGACCUAUACUGGGACCAGUCACUGGGGGGCGAUCAAGACGUUUUGGCUUCACUUUUCAGGGCUUGUGCGGCAUGCUUGGUCUUUCACCAUUCAAGUAGAUAGGACUUUAGUCUUGCAUGACUAAUAAAGGAUAUCCCGCACACUAUUAACUCGCAAAAUAUACAAAAUAUUUAUUGCAGCAAUAUCAGAGCGACGCAAUCUCAUUGAUUUCAAUGGAAGCUUGGCGACUUCUGGCAACACGAGCGACAGUGACCGUUGGCAACUGGAUUGGGCGUGUCAAGUUGUGCGACAAAGUUGAGAAAUGUUUAAAGCUCACGUAACACACGCUGUUUCUGCAUUUCUGAUGUUAAUCCGGAGUACCUAUAGAGUAGUAUGACAUCCUUUAUAUCUCUGAAGAGUCUUUAGUUUAAUCAGAUUUAUAAAAGAAAGAUUAGCUUUACCGAAUCUUUCCGAUAACGUACGAAAAAAUGAAGAAGGAGGAGUUACUUUCGCAGGAGGAGCGAGUACGAGUCAUGCAACACUAUACAACACUGUUUUAACUUAUGAUUCACUACAUGUUCGUGUCAUUUAUAUAAUAUGCACGUGACUAUUUCCAACAUAAGACAGAAGUCUUACUUACCGCGUGCAACUCGUCAU